GAUGAACGCUGGCGGCGUGCUUAACACAUGCAAGUCGAACGAUGAAGCCCAGCUUGCUUGGUGGAUUAGUGGCGAACGGGUGAGUAACACGUGAGUAACCUGCCCUUAACUCUGGGAUAAGCCUGGGAAACUGGGUCUAGUACGGGAUAGGAGCGUCCACCGCAUGGUGGGUGUUGGAAAGAUUUAUCGGUUUUGGAUGGACUCGCGGCCUAUCAGCUUGUUGGUGAGGUAAUGGCACACCAAGGCGACGACGGGUAGCCGGCCUGAGAGGGUGACCGGACACACUGGGAUUGGGACACGGCCCAGACUCAUACGGGAGGCAGCGGUGGAGAAUAUUGCACAAUGGGCGCAAGCCUGAUGCAGCGACGCCGGGUGAGGGAUGACGGCCUUCGGGUUGUAAACCUCUUUCAGUAGGGAAGAAGCGAAAGUGACGGUACCUGCAGAAGAAGCACCGGCUAACUACGU
rnacentral:rRNA from 1 species